rnacentral:rRNA from 1 species
UGCGUAGGUGGUUAGGUAAGACCUGUGGGAAAGACCUGGGCUUAACCCAGGAAGGUCGCAGGUGACUGCCUGGCUAGAGGGCGGGAGAGGAGCGCGGAAUUCCCGGUGUAGCGGUGAAAUGCGUAGAGAUCGGGAGGAAGGCCGGUGGCGAAGGCGGCGCUCUGGAACGUUCCUGACACUGAGGCACGAAAGCGUGGGGAGCAAACAGGAUUAGAUACCCUGGUAGUCCACGCCCUAAACGAUGGGUACUAAGUGUCGGCGGGUUACCGCCGGUGCCGCACCUAACGGAGUAAGUACCCCGCCUGGGGAGUACGGCCGCAAGGUUGAA